ACAUGCCUAUAGCAUAACAUUAAUGCAUUGGAUCCCAUUAGAACUUCACAGUUAAGCGCGCUUAGGAUAGAUUAGUAUUGAGUUGGGUGACUUUCGGGAAGUCCUAGUGUUUUACAUGCC
rfam:Picea glauca, whole genome shotgun sequence.